rnacentral:rRNA from 1 species
CCAAGGCUAAAUACUCGAUAUCGACCGAUAGUGAACCAGUACCGUGAGGGAAAGGCGAAAAGAACCCCGGGAGGGGAGUGAAAUAGAUCCUGAAACCGUGUGCAUACAAACAGUAGGAGCGGACUUGUUCCGUGACUGCGUACCUUUUGUAUAAUGGGUCAGCGACUUACAUUCAGUGGCAAGGUUAACCGCAUAGGGAAGCCGUAGAGAAAUCGAGUCCGAAUAGGGCGAAUCAGUCGCUGGGUGUAGACCCGA